rnacentral:rRNA from 1 species
AUUGAACGCUGGCGGCAUGCCUUACACAUGCAAGUCGAACGGCAGCACGGGUGCUUGCACCUGGUGGCGAGUGGCGAACGGGUGAGUAAUACAUCGGAACAUGUCCUAUAGUGGGGGAUAGCCCGGCGAAAGCCGGAUUAAUACCGCAUACGAUCUACGGAUGAAAGCGGGGGACCUUCGGGCCUCGCGCUAUAGGGUUGGCCGAUGGCUGAUUAGCUAGUUGGUGGGGUAAAGGCCUACCAAGGCGACGAUCAGUAGAUGGUCUGAGAGGACGACCAGCCACACUGGGACUGAGACACGGCCCAGACUCCUACGGGAGGCAGCAGUGGGGAAUUUUGGACAAUGGGCGAAAGCCUGAUCCAGCAAUGCCGCGUGUGUGAAGAAGGCCUUCGGGUUGUAAAGCACUUUUGUCCGGAAAGAAAUCCUUGGCUCUAAUACAGUCGGGGGAUGACGGUACCAGAAGAAUAAGCACCGGCUAACUACGUG